rnacentral:rRNA from 1 species
CGGCAAGAGCUCAAAUUUGAAAUCUGGCACCGUCGGUGUCCGAGUUGUAAUUUGAAGAAGGCAGUCUUGGUGGCCAACCUUGUCUAUGUUCCUUGGAACAGGACGUCACAGAGGGUGAGAAUCCCGUGCGAUGAGGUUUGUCUGCUGUGUAAGGCGCCUUCGAA